UUUUAUUUUUAAAAAUAUUUGAUUCACCAUAAUUUAUUUUGUGGAGUGAAUUGUGAUACAGUUUUUUCCUCCUAGUUUCUGCCUUUUUGGAUUUCCUGUCUACAACCAUUUGUUCCUGAAGUUCUUGCAGUUCUAUUUCUAUAAUAUCUUUGGAAUGUAGCCCCUCAUUUCACCUCCAAUUUCCUUACCCUGGCUAAGAAUUCAUUAUUUUUGGCCUAUGUUACUGCAACAGCUUCCUAAAUAGUCUUUCUGCUUCCAAUUUAGAAUUCUAAAGUUCAGUGCCAGAUGUUGCCAGGGUGGUUUUUUGAAAAGCACUUCUGGGGGACUUCCAGGAAAGAUUUUGAUUUGAGCACAGGCAUUUAAUUUUUCUCUCCAAAAUUUCCAUGGAAAAUACUAGCUGAAGCAGUCUGAGCCACUCUACGAUAUUCAGAGUGCAGAUCUGGCCAUAUUUUCUAGUUUCUCAAAAUUGAAUUGAAAUCCUAAUAGGAUCCUAUGUUUCCAAAGGACAAGAGAUUUGGUGUCGCCUUUUAUUGGAUCUUCUGACUGAAGAUACAAAGCACUAUUGACCAUUUAAAUGGCCCUCAGAGCAAGAGAAGCUUCUAUGAAUUUGCUAAUAUUCCCUCUGUGAUGAAGAUGUUUACUGCUUACUAAAUAUUUGUGAUGUCUUCUCAUUUCCAAGCUUCCCUGCAGAAUCCACAUCUUUUCCACUCCAGUAUAUGGCUUCAUUUUAUGGAAUCAACUGAUAGGUGGUAAUAAAUUCCCUGCCGCGGAGAGCAUUCAAGCAGAGGCUGGAGGCUGGAAGGUCUGGCUAACUGUCCCCAGGCCUGGAAUGAAGUCAAGCUGCACACGAGGAUUGAAGCCUGAGAACCAGAAAAGAUAUUUCCUCUCUUCUAAAGAACAGUGAAAGCGUCCACAGCAAAAAGAAGUAACA
rnacentral:lncRNA from 1 species